rnacentral:rRNA from 1 species
AUUGAACGCUGGCGGCAGGCCUAACACAUGCAAGUCGAGCGAGAGGCGGACGGGUGAGUAAUGUCUGGGAAACUGUCUGAUGGAGGGGGAUAACUACUGGAAACGGUAGCUAAUACCGCAUACGCUAUCAUGUGCCCACAUGGGAUUAGCUAGUAGGUGGGGUAAUGGCUCACCAAGGCAACGAUCCCUAGCUGGUCUGAGAGGAUGACCAGCCACACUGGAACUGAGACACGGUCCAGACUCCUACGGGAGGCAGCAGUGGGGAAUAUUGCACAAUGGGCGCAAGCCUGAUGCAGCCAUGCCGCGUGUAUGAAGAAGGCCUUCGGGUUGUAAAGUACUUUCAGCGAGGAGGCGUUACUCGCAGAAGAAGCACCGGCUAACUCCGUGCCAGCAGCCGCGGUAAUAC